ensembl:lincRNA
AUGCAUCUCACUGAUCUCAGAUGUACCACCUACCACCGAAUGUGCCCUCAUCAGGAACUGCUGCUUUACACAGUGGGGACAGGUGGAAAUGAUGGGUCAUGGGCUUUAGGGUACUGUGGGAAGAUAAAAUCUAUGAUUUUAAUCCUGCUGAAGUCACCCCCAUUCCCACACAACUCACUGCAGGAAGCCAAGGCUGGCUGUUCCAACUCUAGCGGUCCCCACUGUUCCUGCCCUAGAAUCUGUGAUGUGUCUCCCAAGACAAAACAAAUACAGGAGGGGAUCUGCAGGUGGCCUCCGGGGCGCCGGGUGGUGGCUGCGGGCCCCCAUCCCAACUUGGGUGGGGCGGCGAUCCACCGCGGGCUGCCGUGUGCCCGGGCUCACUCCGGCCGGGGCGCCGCGGGCCAGGCAAGGGAGGGGACCAGAAGAGGGCGGGGGCCAGGCAGCCCCUACAGCCGACGAGCAGGCAGCUCCCCUAGGCUCCGGCGCGCAGGGCAGCCGGCGCUCCUUCCUCCAGCUCCUCCCGCUCCUCCUCGUCUUCCUUCGCGUCCGCCGCCGCCGCCGCCGCCGCCUCCCGCUCCUCCUCGAAGACUCAUUGAUGGGAGUUUGAAAAAAAGUCCGCGGAGCCGUGCUGCCUCGGCUGGCGAGCUNNNNNNNNNNNNNNNNNNNNNNNNNNNNNNNNNNNNNNNNNNNNNNNNNNNNNNNNNNNNNNNNNNNNNNNNNNNNNNNNNNNNNNNNNCCGCACGGCGCAGCGCCCCCGCGCGCACGGCUGCGGCACACAGGGCGCCGCGCCCCCGCCCAAGCCGCGCGCCCCCGCCCGGAGGGGAUCCCGGAGACCUGGAGAGGAGGGGCGGCCUAGGACCCUCCUCAGCGCCCUGGAGAGAAAGCACACCUACGAAGAAAGUUCCAGCAGAGAACGAAAGAGCGCGCCAGUCCCCAACACUUUUUUUUAAGGCGCCGGGGUGGGUGGGGGGUCGCUAACUCGGAGCCGAGGCGCAGGGACGGUUCUGUUUUCAAUCUCUGAAAUCCCCCGCCCUCCCCACCUCCCUCUUGCCUGCUGGUGAGAAGCGUAGCAGCCUUCUAGGUUUGGUGCCUGUGUGUUUGGUAGGAAGGGUUUUUGUUUGUUUUGUUUUGUUUUUAGAGACUCCACUCGAGCUGCCGCAACCAGAUGGAAGUAAUCAGAACCCAACAACAACAGAGGAAGAAGGAAGAAAAAAACCUCACUGAACUUUUGGACCAAAGUGUGUAUGGGUGUGUGUGUGAAAGAACUUGCUUAAGCAAACUAGGUAACAAGCUUUGGGCCCUCAGGCCUCACCGCAGCCCAGAAAGAGCUGAUUGGCUGGAAGAAGCAGGGGACAGCUGGCUGAAGUGCCCCCCAACCCAUGGCCAGCCUCCAGCCUCUAAAGCUGAGGGUCCUCCUCCAAAAAGGGGACCCUCGCUGGCACAAGUUUCUAAGUUUUCCUUCUAACGGUUGUGGACAACUUACUAUGUGCUAGGUGACAUGUUGUAUUUCUUUUGAAUUAUAUAACCUACAAUGGUAACCCACUCCAGUAUUCUUGCCUAGAGAAUCCCAGGGAUGGGGGAGCCUGGUGAGCUGCUGUCUAUGGGGUCGCACAGAGUCGGACACGACUGAAGCGACUUAGCAGCAGCAGCAGCAGCAGAAGCAGCAGCAGCAGCAGCAGCAGCAACCUACAAAACUCCAGGAAGUAGAUUUUCUUCUCCCCCAUUUUACAGGUGAGAAGACUGAGGCUUUAAGUGAAGUAGUUGUCCCAGGUCAGAGCAUUGAACUGCCAUCCUCCAUGAGUUCAGUAGUUUGUACCACUAGUUUAGCCAAGGGUGUUAAGAGCAUCUCUCUCUCUUCAGCCCUUCUUGCUACAGUUGCAUCUUAUCUAGAAUGUAUGGGACUAAAGUCUCAGAGACCCAAUUCUGCCCUCCUUUCACAAGCCUAUGUUACUGAUGUGACCUCCCUUUGUCAGUAGCUCUUUCCAUGUGCCACUGACCUGACCAGCCCUUCUCUAACUUUAUUUUCCACAUUUUAACAGAAGAGAGAGCAUUAUGAUCCCCGUUCCCUAUUACCCACCUUCCUUUUAAUUUCCUUACAUUCAUUUAGAUGACAGGACAAUUUCUUCUUGAUCGAGGAAAAAGUAUAUGCAGAACAAUAUCACAACAAUCUGAUGCUAAUUUUGUUUUUCUCAAGUAGGCUCUCCGGAUUGAAAGAAAAAAAAAAAAAAACCCUUCAGGGUUUUUAAAAAACAAAUCUUGGAGAAGUCAAUGUAUUUAUCAAAGGAAAGAGAAGUUUGGAAGGGCUUUCUCUUUAAAUAUGAUCAGAUUCACCAUUCCUCCAUGCUAUUUGUUUAAAUUCCUGCUGAGCUUUCAGACACAGACUCUAAGGAGACAGAAAAAGUAAACUCUCCCUCCCUUCCUUGGCCAUAUUUUAAUGACCCUAUUCAUAUCUACCCCAUGAAAUGUGCAGAAUCAUUUCAUGUUACUGGAAUAUUAGCAGCAUUGGGUGAUUACUUCAUUAAAGCUUGUCUCUGUUGGUUUCCUUGUGUUGUUCAGUUUGUGAAGAAGUUUAAACAAAUCGACAUUUUAGGAUAUUUCCUUUUUCUCUGUUUUUCUUCUCAGUCCCGCUCCAGUCCUGCUGGAAUGCAGGCACUCUCAUAACCUUUUCUGGCUUAUUUUGGCAAGGAGGUAGCUGUUGAGAUGAAGAUGGAGUCUUUUCAGUUUGAGGAGAAGGUGUAAACAUCACGCCUUGAUCUCUAGAUGGUCAGGAGUCUGGGCACUGGAAAAAAAAAAAAAAGCAGUAGAAGGUGUGGAGUGGAGGCAAACUGGCAGAGCAGAGAAAUGAACAUUAGACACAAGGCUGUAGUCCAAGUCUAGCGCUAAAUGUAUGACCUUGGGUGAGUCCCAGUGUGUUUAGUCGGCAUCUUUCUGUGUGCCCAGUACCAUGCCAACUGAUGUGACAUCAUAGUAAGUGGGACGAACGAGAUCCUUCUCGUGGAGUUCAUUGUUUCAUGAAUAAACACUCAGGGGACUUCCCUGAUGGUCCAGUGGCUAAGACUCGGCACUCCCAAUGCAAGGAGCUCUGGUUCGAUCCCUGGUCAGGGAACUAGAUUUAACGUGCCACAACUCAGGGUUCACAUGCUACAACUGAAGAUCCCAUGUGCCACAACUAAGACCCAGAACCGUCAAAUAAAUAAAUAAUAAAUACUUAAAAGCACACAUAGGCAACUGUCUAACUGCAAACUGCGUAAAGAAGAAAUACAAAGUACACCAAAAGAUCGCCGUAGGGGACCAAACCUAGCAUGGGAGGCAGCAGUGGGGAACACAGAGAAGGCUUAUCUGAAGACGUGAGGUUGCACUGUCUGACAGGAGUAGAAAAGCUCUGCACAGCAAAGGAAACAAUCCACAGUGUAAAAAGGCAGUCUAUGGAGUGGGAGAAAAUACUUGCAAACCAUAUGCUGACAAGGAGUUCAUUUCCAAAAUAAAUAAGGAACUCCUAAAACUCAAUAGCAAAAACACAAAUGACCCGAUUAGAAAAUGGGCAAAGGAGAACAGAAAUUUCUCCGAAGAAGACCUACUGAUGGCCAACAGAUAUAUAAAAGGUGCUCAGCAUCAUUCAUCCUGCGGAAAUGCAAGUCAAAACCACAAGGCGGGAAUUUCCUGGCUGUCCAGUAAUUAGGACUCUGCGCUUUUACUGCCAAGGGUGCAAGUUCAAUCCCUAGUUGAGGAACUGAGAGCCUGCAAGCUCAGCAAAACAAACAAACACACCACAAGGCAAUAUUAGCUCACACUUGUUAGGGUGUCUGUCAUCAAAAAACCAAAAGAUA